rnacentral:sRNA from 1 species
UCGUAGGUACCGCCAGGCGCGUG